rnacentral:rRNA from 1 species
UACGGAGGGAGCUAGCGUUGUUCGGAUUUACUGGGCGUACAGGGAGCGUAGGCGGUUGGAUAAGCCCUCCGUGAAAUCUCCAGGCUUAACCUGGAAAGUGGACAGAGGGGACUGUUCAGCUAGAGGAUGGGAGAGGAGCGCGGAAUUCCCGGUGUAGCGGUGAAAUGCGUAGAGAUCGGGAGGAAGGCCGGUGGCGAAGGCGGCGCUCUGGAACAUUUCUGACGCUGAGGCUCGAAAGCGUGGGGAGCAAACAGGG